UACGUAGGGUGCGAGCGCUAAUCGGAAUGACUGGGCGUAAAGGGUGCGUAGGCGGUUUGCUAAGACGGAUGUGAAAUCCCUGGGCUCAACCUAGGAACAGCAUACGUGACUGGCAGGCUAGAGUAUCGAAGAGGGGGGUAGAAUUCCACGUGUAGCAGUGAAAUGCGUAGAGAUGUGGAGGAAUACCGAUGGCGAAGGCAGCCCCCUGGUCAGAUACUGACGCUGAGGCACGAAAGCGUGGGGAGCAAACAGG
rnacentral:rRNA from 1 species